GAGCGGAUGAUGAAAGAAAUUGGUAUUCAGUACUGACUAGUACAUGAUGUUUCCAAAAUUCGAGCUUUUUAAAACUGACGCUCA
rfam:Morus notabilis contig2994, whole genome shotgun sequence.